AAGUGUGUGACUUAAUACUUUGGG
rnacentral:piRNA from 1 species